GCGAUCUCCUGCUCCUGGACUGGUUGUCAGGUGUUCCAGUGGUUUUCCAAGGGAAAGUAAGAGGAAUAGCCAAAUCAGCUGUGGAUAGAUAGACAGGACUCACCUCGCCUAAUUGCAGAUGUCUGUAUGGAAGAUGUCUACUCCUGAGCUGCCAAGCAGGGCUCGUUUCAUCAGUCAGAUGCAGAUAUUGAGUUAAAGAGGCUCUGAGAAAUCCAGUUUCUCUCCCCUGAUGAGAAGAGGAGCCCGAGGCUGGCUCAGAUGGAGCAAGGGGCUGGGCAGACACCUGCCUGUGAUCAGCUGUCCAUGUCUUUUCCUUGUUCAAGUACCCCCAUCCAACCUGCUGGUGAAGGAGGAACUGAAGAAGCACCGAUCUCUGGGCAUUCACCAGUACCUGUGGCCACAGGAGCCAAAAUUUGGUUCCUCCACUGGCCAAUGAACAGCCCAUGAAACACCACAGAGGAGGCGUCCACUGGGAACUAUUCAAAGGAAAGCUUGAAGGCACUACAGGGACCAGACCUAGGACUGGUUGCUCCAGCUACCACACCGGUGGUCAAAUGGGGCUGGGUGACCUCUUCAUGCCUUGGGAACAGACAUGACCUUUCCUGCUUUCCCUGCUAUGGAUACGGCCCAUAAAGGGACCCUGCACAGGCA